rnacentral:lncRNA from 1 species
GUUGUUUUGAGUGCUUCCUGCCCAACAUAGAGCUGCUUAGAAGCUAAGCCUGCCCUGCAGUUCCUUCACGCCCAGACUGAGCAGGCCUGCCACUAGCUGGAUCCCUGGGAUUAAAUAGGGUCUCAGCAGGCGUUCCUGCUGGUUUUUCUGCUGAAGAACACAAGUCAAGGCCCUGAAUGUGCAACUCGGUGCUCUGGAAUCAUGGAGCAGUGGUCUGAGCAGUCAGCACAGAAGUACCAUCAUCCACUCAUCUUAUCCGCCAGGGCCAAAGACAAAGAAUACAGCAGAAAUUCUUCCCCAGAAUUUUGAAGACAAAGCCCAUGAUAAGGGGCUGGAGCCUGAAGAAGAGAGCAAGUACAAAGAUCAUUGGAUACAAAAGAGAGGAGCCAACACUGAUUGGAAUCAAACCUCAAGAUGGAU